AUGGCUGCAGCUGGAGUAGGAAGGGUAUAUUUAAUGCAAUGCAAUCACUUUCCAAUCUAUUUAAAGAGGAUUAUCAUUGUUUCUUAUCAGUCAGCAGGAAGAGGGGAAGAAAGGACACCAGCACUUUCUGAAAUAGAGCAGAAAAUUGGGGUCGUUCUCUUCUUACUGUCCUGUCCUGCUCAACAGUUCACACUCAAACAAGCAGAAGUGUUCAUAUUUCUGGAACCUACUCAGCAUUUCAGAUUUUUGGAUGAUGAAAGAGGAGAAAAAGCUUCAGUUGGCACUUACAUUUUUGACAUUGAAGCUACUCACAUAGGUUUUACAGUGAACAUAAUAAAUACUAUCCUGAUUGUCAUAACUCUGAGACUCAAACUGGAGUGCCUUUGUGAUGGGAAAGCCCAGCUGGUGAAGCUCAGGCAAGCCUCAUACAAUUACUGA
rnacentral:lncRNA from 1 species